UACGAAGGGGGCUAGCGUUGCUCGGAAUUACUGGGCGUAAAGCGCACGUAGGCGGCUCUUUAAGUCGGGGGUGAAAUCCUGGAGCUCAACUCCAGAACUGCCUUCGAUACUGUAGAGCUUGAGUUCGGGAGAGGUGAGUGGAACUGCGAGUGUAGAGGUGAAAUUCGUAGAUAUUCGCAAGAACACCAGUGGCGAAGGCGGCUCACUGGCCCGAUACUGACGCUGAGGUGCGAAAGCAUGGGUAGCGAACAGG
rnacentral:rRNA from 1 species